rnacentral:rRNA from 1 species
UACGAGAGGCCCAAACGUUAUUCGGAUUUACUGGGCUUAAAGAGUUCGUAGGCGGUCUGGCAAGUGAGGUGUGAAAGCCCUCGGCUCAACCGAGGAAUUGCGCUUCAAACUGCCAGGCUCGAGGGAGAUAGAGGUGAGCGGAACUGAUGGUGGAGCGGUGAAAUGCGUUGAUAUCAUCAGGAACACCAGAGGCGAAGGCGGCUCACUGGGUCUUUUUCUGACGCUGAGGAACGAAAGCUAGGGGAGCAAACAGG